CUACGUGCCAGCAGCCGCGGUAAUACGUAGGGCGCGAGCGUUGUCCGGAAUUAUUGGGCGUAAAGAGCUUGUAGGCGGUUUGUCGCGUCUGCUGUGAAAGGCCGGGGCUUAACCCCGUGUAUUGCAGUGGGUACGGGCAGACUAGAGUGCAGUAGGGGAGACUGGAACUCCUGGUGUAGCGGUGGAAUGCGCAGAUAUCAGGAAGAACACCGAUGGCGAAGGCAGGUCUCUGGGCUGUAACUGACGCUGAGAAGCGAAAGCAUGGGGAGCGAACAGGAUUAGAUACCCUGGUAGUCCAUGCCGUAAACGUUGGGCACUAGGUGUGGGGGACAUUCCACGUUUUCCGCGCCGUAGCUAACGCAUUAAGUGCCCCGCCUGGGGAGUACGGCCGCAAGGCUAAAACUCAAAGAAAUUGACGGGGGCCCGCACAAGCGGCGGAGCAUGCGGAUUAAUUCGACGCAACGCGAAGAACCUUACCAGGUCUUGACAUUGAUGGACAGAACUAGAGAUAG
rnacentral:rRNA from 1 species